UGAGGAAUAUUGGUCAAUGGACGGAAGUCUGAACCAGCCAAGUAGCGUGCAGGAUGACGGCCCUAUGGGUUGUAAACUGCUUUUGUAUGGGGAUAAAGUNAGGGACGUGUCCCUAUUNGCAGGUACCAUACGAAUAAGGACCCGGCUAAUUCCGUGCCAGCAGCCGCGGUAAUACGGAAGGUCCAGGCGUUAUCCGGAUUUAUUGGGUUUAAAGGGAGCGUAGGCUGGAGAUUAAGUGUGUUGUGAAAUGUAGACGCUCAACGUCUGAAUUGCAGCGCAUACUGGUUUCCUUGAGUACGCACAACGUUGGCGGAAUUCGUCGUGUAGCGGUGAAAUGCUUAGAUAUGACGAAGAACUCCGAUUGCGAAGGCAGCUGACGGGAGCGCAACUGACGCUUAAGCUCGAAGGUGCGGGUAUCAAACAGGAUUAGAUACCCUGGUAGUCCGCACAGUAAACGAUGGAUGCCCGCUGUUGGUACCUGGUAUCAGCGGCUAAGCGAAAGCAUUAAGCAUCCCACCUGGGGAGUAUGCNAGGCAACGGUG
rnacentral:rRNA from 1 species